rnacentral:lncRNA from 1 species
UCCCAUCUGUGAUGAUAACUAAUAUUAGAAUGAAUCAAGAUUGAAAGCUUGUAAUACCCGAUUUAGUCAAGCAUAAUUAGCCACCAGCAAAAAAGAAAAAAAUCUUAAGACCAGCACGUGCAGCUAACCAUGAAUAAGAGUUUGAAGGAGUUCUUUUUUUUCCAUCUGACCUAGACUCCAACUUCGAAUUGGAGUCAGAUUACAUUCUAAUCUCCCGUUAUUUGG